CUACGGGCGGCAGCAGUGGGGAAUAUUGCACAAUGGGCGCAAGCCUGAUGCAGCCAUGCCGCGUGUAUGAAGAAGGCCUUCGGGUUGUAAAGUACUUUCAGCGGGGAGGAAGGGAGUAAAGUUAAUACCUUUGCUCAUUGACGUUACCCGCAGAAGAAGCACCGGCUAACUCCGUGCCAGCAGCCGCGGUAAUACGGAGGGUGCAAGCGUUAAUCGGAAUUACUGGGCGUAAAGCGCACGCAGGCGGUUUGUUAAGCCAGAUGUGAAAUCCCCGGGCUCAACCUGGGAACUGCAUCUGAUACUGGCAAGCUUGAGUCUCGUAGAGGGGGGUAGAAUUCCAGGUGUAGCGGUGAAAUGCGUAGAGAUCUGGAGGAAUACCGGUGGCGAAGGCGGCCCCCUGGACGAAGACUGACGCUCAGGUGCGAAAGCGUGGGGAGCAAACAGGAUUAGAUACCCGUGUAGUC
rnacentral:rRNA from 1 species